UUUUUAACCCUCUCUCUGAAGUCGAGAUUUAGACACGAGUGUCCACCAUGCGUCCUGUUAGUUACGCAUAGAAGACGUCGCAACGCGUAAAGCAACGUGACUCGCGGGAGCUCAAGAGAGGCAUAAGCAUCAGCAUCUGCUGGCCGUUGCCGAGGUUGUCGCUGCGGCAUCAGCCCCGCGAACACGGCUGCUGCGUACUCCGCUUUUAACCCGCUCCACCUCAGAUUGCUUGAUAAUAACGCAAUCUUCCUGCGGUCCGCCAUGGCUACAUGGGAACUACAUUUAAACAUAUAGCCGCUUGCUGCUAUGGGGCGAUCUAAUUCGCUCUCUCUUUUCUCUUACGACGCUGGCACAGGUGCCUCAGAAAAGAGAGAUGCAUGCAGGUGUGAGGACCACUCAUUCGAGGUGCUGUGAUGUUUUUCUCUGGUGCCAAUUGGACCUUUUUCUGUGCAGUCGAUCGUAGAGAAUGAAGACACACGAUACGAUGUGUGGGCUCCUUUUUUGUGGCACAUAAAACCAUCUGCGAAAAUGCGUCUCUUUAUCAAAGUGUGAAGAUGUUUGAUGCCCUUCUCUCCCCACCAUGAAGAAUAAAAACAACGCCCGUGAGCUGGCAUGCAUCGGUGUCUGAAAAAGGUCCCGGGGCUUCGUUCUCCAGCUCUCUCUGCGUCCCGUCACUACCACGCAGAGAGAUCUGCACGUGGCUCAGCACGUCUGUCAGAUGCUGGAGGCCAUGUAAGGACAAGGAGAUCCAACUCCAACCGUAGGGAUUCAUAGUGGUCCAGGAAGACUGUUGCGUUGCUGUGCGGGUCGUGUAGAACAUGGUGCAGCUGCGGCCGCUUUGAGUGCGUGUUUGGGCGAGAGAGAGAGAGAGAGAGAGAGAGAGAGAGAGAGAAAGAGAGAGAAAGGAGGGGACCGACGACGCAGCAGCUACCUCGACACUGUCAUCCAAGAGGAGGUGCUGAGACAGUGAAGUGUUCGCUGCAUUUUUUUUUCUUUCAUUUUUAAACUUAUAUUGCGUUGGAUCAACUUGUGCAGCUCUGAAGACGCGUUACGCUGGGUUUGAUCCCUGGACUUUAGGCUCUGGUAAUGGUUACUCUUGAGAAAUCGCUGGUAGAAACCUGUCAUAAAAUUCUAAAAGGACUUCAACCAGGGAUCCGGGAUUUAUUCACUUUUUAUGGCUUGAGUAAGUGAAGACCUACAGAAAAACUCACACCUCAUCUGCAGGCCUGCAAGUGACAGACAGCCAUCCUCCUGUCUCUGAAGAGCAGGGGUCAGCAACGGAGUCAGUUCAUCCCUCUGACGUCAGAGCUUGAGAAGAAGAAGAGGAGGAGGAUGCAGUGGAGGAGGAAAAAGAGAAGCAGAGUGGGUGGAAGAAUGGAAGGAGAGGAGGAUGGAAGCAGUUUGAGGAGGUGGUUCGAAGCGGGUGAACCCAGAGCAGAUGCAGUCUGUGAAAAGCCACCAUGAGCAUUAAAAAGGAGGCAUUCCAACAUUGGGCCUUAAACGAGAAAGCACACAUGCUUCCUAUACUUUGAACAUGUUUAGCCUUGGUCAGCUUCCCACCUGCAUCACUUUCCUUAGGCCAACAGGUAACAAGGAGCUGCUUCAAAAGGUAAGUUUAAAAGUCGAAUACAUUCCAAAGCGUAAAAUGGAUCUGCUAUGUCAGCAUUUUGUUUUUGCAGAUUUGUCUGUAAUUUUCAGUGAUGUGUGUGCAAAAUUGUUCAGUAAGACUUUGCUAUAAAUAAAAUAUGCUGUUCUAUAUUUUUCUUGAGAAUAGCAUUUACAGAUAAGGUCCCCUCCACAUUUAAACACCCUUCUCCUGAUAAAGCUAUGUAAAAAGCCAGAAGAUUAUUUCUUUUUUGCAGCAGCACAAUAGUACACUAAAACUGCCGUUUCCAGUGAACUUUGGAGAUUUUAUUUCACCUCUCUUACCAUUUUCACUGUAUGUGGUUACAAGAUAAGCUUGGAUUCUUGUCCAGUUUUGUUUAUCACUGUUCCAGUUGUUUUAACAUUUUUUUAUAUUAUUGCUCUGACUUCAGACAUGGUGUGUUAACCCAACUAGGUAUUUUCUUGUGGUUAUUUCCUGCCUUAGUUGGCAUGUUCUCUUGCCUUUCCCAUUUUCAAGAGUUGUGUAGAAAAUGGGCCUUUAGUUUAUCAAAGGUUCCUCUAUACUCAACUUACAAAGGUAAUGUUUGCAUUCAUAAAAACAAUGUUUCUGUUGUGUUUAGUUUCUGAGAAUUGUGCCAAGAAUGUUGGUGCUGGAGAUUUUGUCAAAAAAAAAAAAAAUGUUUUCCUAAUGUGGUAUUUUUUUUCAAAUAAAUGUUGCAUUUUUGUUGUUUUUUUCAGUGUGAGAUUUUGCUACUGCAAAAAAGAAGAUUUCUUCCACAUAAUUACCAGCGGUGUCUAUAGUCGUAAAGGGCGCUGUUCAAUAUUUGUCAAUGUGACAUUUAUAAAUUUAUCCUGAAUCAGUGAUUACUGUCCAAAUAUUCUGAAAUUCUAAAUAAAAUUGAUACAAAUAUGAAAUAAAAA